rnacentral:rRNA from 1 species
AUCUGCCCUUCACUCUGGGACAAGCCCUGGAAACGGGGUCUAAUACCGGAUAACACUUACCUCCUCCUGGGGGUUGGUUAAAAGCUCCGGCGGUGAAGGAUGAGCCCGCGGCCUAUCAGCUUGUUGGUGGGGUAAUGGCCUACCAAGGCGACGACGGGUAGCCGGCCUGAGAGGGCGACCGGCCACACUGGGACUGAGACACGGCCCAGACUCCUACGGGAGGCAGCAGUGGGGAAUAUUGCACAAUGGGCGAAAGCCUGAUGCAGCGACGCCGCGUGAGGGAUGACGGCCUUCGGGUUGUAAACCUCUUUCAGCAGGGAAGAAGCGCAAGUGACGGUACCUGCAGAAGAAGCACCGGCUAACUACGUGCCAGCAGCCGCGGUAAUACGUAGGGUGCGAGCGUUGUCCGGAAUUAUUGGGCGUAAAGAGCUCGUAGGCGGUCUGUCACGUCGGAUGU